AAACUUAAAUGAAUUGACGGGUCCCCGCACAAGCAGCGGAGCGUGUGGUUUAAUUCGAUGCUACACGAAGAACCUUACCUGGGUUUGACAUAGAGGUAGUAGGGAAGCGAAAGCGGACCGACCUUCGGGGAGCCUCUACAGGUGUUGCAUGGCUGUCGUCAGCUCGUGUCGUGAGAUGUUCGGUUAAGUCCGCUAACGAGCGCAACCCUCGCUGUGUGUUACAAGUGUCACACGGUACUGCCGAUAUUAAGUCGGAGGAAGGUGGGGAUGACGUCAAGUCAGCAUGACCUUUAUAUCCAGGGCUACACACACGCUACAAUGGCCAGUACAAUGGGUUGCCAAGCCGCGAGGCGGAGCCAAUCCUAAAAAGCUGGCCUCAGUUCAGAUUGCAGUCUGCAACUCGACUGCAUGAAGUUGGAAUCGCUAGUAAUCGCGGAUCAGCACGCCGCGGUGAAUACGUUCCCGGGCCUU
rnacentral:rRNA from 1 species